UCGGGAAUUUUGGGCAAUGGGCGAAAGCCUGACCCAGCAACGCCGCGUGAAGGAUGAAGUAUUUCGGUAUGUAAACUUCGAAAGAAUAGGAAGAAUAAAUGACGGUACUAUUUAUAAGGUCCGGCUAACUACGUGCCAGCAGCCGCGGUAAUACGUAGGGACCAAGCGUUGUUCGGAUUUACUGGGCGUAAAGGGCGCGUAGGCGGCAAUUCAAGUCAUCUGUGAAAUCUCCGGGCUUAACUCAGAACGGUCAGAUGAUACUGCUUUGCUAGAGUGCAGAAGGGGCAAUCGGAAUUCUUGGUGUAGCGGUGAAAUGCGUAGAUAUCAAGAGGAACACCUGAGGUGAAGACGGGUUGCUGGGCUGACACUGACGCUGAGGCGCGAAAGCCAGGGGAGCAAACGGGAUUAGAUACCCAAGUAGUCCCUGAGCGGGCUGGCAAGGCGCAU
rnacentral:rRNA from 1 species